rnacentral:rRNA from 1 species
AUUGAACGCUGGCGGCAGGCCUAACACAUGCAAGUCGAGCGAGCGGCGGACGGGUGAGGAAUGUCUGGGAAACUGCCUGAUGGAGGGGGAUAACUACUGGAAACGGUAGCUAAUACCGCAUACAAUCAGAUUUGGCGAGAGGGGAUUAGCUAGUGGGUGGGGGAACGGCUCACCUAGGCGACGAUCCCUAGCUGGACUGAGAGGAUGACCAGCCACACUGGAACUGAGACACGGUCCAGACUCCUACGGGAGGCAGCAGUAGGGAAUAUUGCACAAUGGGCGCAAGCCUGAUGCAGCCAUGCCGCGUGUGUGAAGAAGGCCUUCGGGUUGUAAAGCACUUUCAGCGGGGAGGCGUUACCCGCAGAAGAAGCACCGGCUAACUCCGUGCCAGCCGCCGCGGUAAUUC